AUUGAACGCUGGCGGCAUGCCUUACACAUGCAAGUCGAACGGUAACAGGUCUUCGGAUGCUGACGAGUGGCGAACGGGUGAGUAAUACAUCGGAACGUGCCUAGUAGUGGGGGAUAACUACUCGAAAGAGUGGCUAAUACCGCAUGAGAUCUACGGAGGAAAGCAGGGGAUCGAAAGACCUUGUGCUACUAGAGCGGCCGAUGGCAGAUUAGGUAGUGGGUGGGAUAAAAGCUUACCAAGCCGACGAUCUGUAGCUGGUCUGAGAGGACGAUCAGCCACACUGGGACUGAGACACGGCCCAGACUCCUACGGGAGGCAGCAGUGGGGAAUUUUGGACAAUGGGCGAAAGCCUGAUCCAGCAAUGCCGCGUGCAGGAUGAAGGCCUUCGGGUUGUAAACUGCUUUUGUACGGAACGAAAAGCCCUGGGUUAAUACCCUGGGGUCAUGACGGUACCGUAAGAAUAAGCACCGGCUAACUACGUGCCAGCCGCCGCCGUAACAC
rnacentral:rRNA from 1 species